GAUGGACGCUAGCUACAGGCUUAACACAUGCAAGUCGAGGGGCAGCAUGGUCUUAGCUUGCUAAGGCCGAUGGCGACCGGCGCACGGGUGAGUAACACGUAUCCAACCUGCCGUCUACUCUUGGACAGCCUUCUGAAAGGAAGAUUAAUACAAGAUGGCAUCAUGAGUCCGCAUGUUCACAUGAUUAAAGGUAUUCCGGUAGACGAUGGGGAUGCGUUCCAUUAGAUAGUAGGCGGGGUAACGGCCCACCUAGUCUUCGAUGGAUAGGGGUUCUGAGAGGAAGGUCCCCCACAUUGGAACUGAGACACGGUCCAAACUCCUACGGGAGGCAGCAGUGAGGAAUAUUGGUCAAUGGGCGAGAGCCUGAACCAGCCAAGUAGCGUGAAGGAUGACUGCCCUAUGGGUUGUAAACUUCUUUUAUAAAGGAAUAAAGUCGGGUAUGGAUACCCGUUUGCAUGUACUUUAUGAAUAAGGAUCGGCUAACUCCGUG
rnacentral:rRNA from 1 species